CCUACGGGUGGCUGCAGUGAGGAAUAUUGGUCAAUGGGCGGAAGCCUGAACCAGCCAAGUCGCGUGAGGGAAUAAGGCCCUACGGGUCGUAAACCUCUUUUGCCGGGGAGCAAGGGCGGGGACGUGUCCCGGCCCGGAGAGUACCCGGAGAAAAAGCAUCGGCUAACUCCGUGCCAGCAGCCGCGGUAAUACGGAGGAUGCGAGCGUUAUCCGGAUUUAUUGGGUUUAAAGGGUGCGUAGGUGGUUAAUUAAGUCAGCGGUGAAAGUUUGUGGCUCAACCAUAAAAUUGCCGUUGAAACUGGUUGACUUGAGUAUAUUUGAGGUAGGCGGAAUGCGUGGUGUAGCGGUGAAAUGCAUAGAUAUCACGCAGAACUCCGAUUGCGAAGGCAGCUUACUAAACUAUAACUGACACUGAAGCACGAAAGCGUGGGGAUCAAACAGGAUUAGAUACCCCAGUAGUC
rnacentral:rRNA from 1 species